rnacentral:lncRNA from 1 species
AGAGUAGUAGUACCAUCAAUAAACUGAACCUUGUUCUUGGUGCUCAAGGUUGUAUACAUUGAUUUGCUCAAAGCAUGGUAAUUAUUGGAUUCUAAGAGAGGGAAAACAAGGGAAAUUACAGGGCUUUCGCUUGGAUGGAGAUACAAGAGACUGGAAGAAUGAUUAUGUUCCUCCAUCAUCGUGGAAUAUCCUGUAAAAGAAUAGGCAAAGAGAAGAAAAAAGGAACAAAGAAAAUAAAGAAGAGAGAAAGGAAAAGAAAAAGAGGAAAAGAAAAUAGGGUUAGAGGCACAACAGAGCUCUUCAAAGAAAGAGCUCUGAUACCAUCAUGGAAGAGCGACAAAGGAUGCUCUUGAAGGAUCAUGUCUAUGAAAGGAGUGAUCGGUGUGUGAGAUUGUGUGCAUCAUGAUAAGCAAGCAAGAAGAGACAAGAAGAGUCUUACAGAGACGACAAAAGCAACAAAAGUAAAUUAGGAGAGUAGAGGAACGAGAAAGAAUUUUCUACACAAUGUUAUUAUGUGAAUAUAGAAAUGUACUUUAUGUAUUUGGAAAGUAAAAGAGUACCUUUAUAUAUAGCGUAUUAGAGAAGCAAAUAAAAACAAUAAAUAGAAAUAAAAUGGAAAAUACAAAUUAGUGAGGAUUCUGACAAGACGUUCCUUCGCAGGUUGAAGAAUGAUAUGAUGAAAAACUAUGGCAACCCUAACAUUAGUUUCAAAAAGUCAAGCUUACAUAACAUAAUGGUUCUUCAUCAUGUCCAACAUGAAAAGGAUGUUAUUUUUAUAUUGGUGACCAUGAGUGUUGGAUGAAAUUUAGGUUUACUUCAUGAUGAGGAGCCAUGAUCAAAGUUGGUUAAAGACAUGAUAUCAACGGUAAACAUGAGUGUAUGAUAGAAAGAAGAGGCAACAAUUAGGCUAGCAGGUGGCAGUACGCGGUUGUUGAAACCAGGGGAUGACAUGUGAGCGAGAAGGAAGGGGUGGCUCCUGGCUGCUAAAACAAGAUGGGCGACACAAGAGUUGGAGAAGGAAAAAAGUGAGGGUGCAAAAACAUGUUGUUGGUCAAAAGAAGGCUUAAGGGUGAUUAAGAGCAGCCACAACACAAAAGAGAGUCUUCGAGCAUGAUACAAUGCGAAAAAGAAAAGAAAUACACGACAUCAAACGCAAAGUGACAAGAUCUGAAUAGAGAAAGACUCAUGAUACUAUAUAAGAAAAUGAUACCAUAUAAGAAAAAAAUAAUUUAAAUAUAUGUCUCAUUAUGUAAUUGGAUAUAUAUAUAUAUAUAUAUAUA